AAAGAUUUAGUUUAAUAAAACAUUUGCUUGUCAAGAAAAAAAUACUUUCAAUAGUAAUCUUUA
rnacentral:tRNA from 1 species